rnacentral:lncRNA from 1 species
UAUUCACAGAGCACCCACUAGGUGCCAGGAAAUGUAUGAAAAGCCCUGUGGAAUAAGACUGAAGUUGUCCUUGCCUUCAGGCAACUUGCAAUUUCCUAAGAACACAGUUUAAAACCACAAAACUAAGCCUUGGAAAUCACAUGCUGUCAUUUCUGCGAUUGGUCAUAACCAGUUCUGAUUCCAUGUUAGAGGAGACUACAUAAGGACACAGGUACCAGAAGGAGACUAACCAGCAUGGGCUACAUCAAAAAGGCUGUCAUCUACUUUCUGCUGGGUAGGGGCACCAGAGAGACUUGUCAGAAACUAGAAGGAAGGUAGAGUGCGAAAUCUGAGUGUUAAUUCCCUGGCUUCAUCAAAGGACACUGGUCUUCACAAGGAAACAGACUACAUGAUUCUCCUUUUGGGCUUCAGUAAAAACCCCCUCCUUUCAUCCCUUAGUCUAGGGAUGGUAAGAGGUCAGCAGCUAAGAAUUCCAGGUUCUUUGUGGUUUUCCCGUAUACAUGUCUUUGAUGAUAGCCCCUUUGGAAAUAAAUUCUCCUAGACUUUU